GCGCGUGGAAGAGAAGCGGGAAGAGCGAGGGCGGCAGCAUGCUCCUGAUCCGAUCUCUCCGCUCACGCCGCCGCUGCCGUCGAGCCCGACAAAACCAUCGGAGACCGCCCCAGGAACGACUGCAGCAUGGACGAUAUCAGAUCCAUCGACGACCCUCCCCGUCCUCGACCUCCUCUCCCGCAAUAUUUCACAUCUGCCGCAUAUACAGCACUGUUCCUGGCCCGACAUCAUCGGUGUCGUUGAUCUGAGGAUUGUCUUCCAGAAUGAAGAUAUUGUUGCACUUUACACUGAUGGUUUGAAGUGUCUCACCUUCCUCUGCCGCAUAAAACUCAUCGCACCGGCUGUGCUCCCUCAGGUAGCGAGCAUCACCCGUCGUCGCAGCGAAGAUGGCUUGCAAGAUGAAAAGGGCAGGCAGCAAUCUCACCACAGCCUUCAUUGCUUGCAGGAUUGUUUGGAUCAAUGAAGACUUGAAAAUGUUAGCCCCGGUGUAUAUAUUUGUAAGGUUGGCCAAAUGGGGAUUUGUUCGUAUGUCAAACUCAAAGGUUUGCAUCUAGGUUUCGUUGGUCAUCCUUGUCAAGUAAUAGAUAGGAUCCUGCCUGGUGCAGGGUUUAAAAUGGAACAAUAGAUAGGACAUGAUCCUGCAGUGAACCCAUAUCCUUUAUUUAAACUCUGGAAUUAAUUGUAGUUGGUGGUUGGACUACCCUAAUAGUGAUGCCCCAUCUACUAAAUCUCUUUUGUUUUACCUUUAAUAAAUGUAUUAGGUUGCACAAACCUGAUAGAUACAUGUAAUGGAUGAUGUAUAGCAUUAGAAAUUUGGGUGGUGUACCAGACAAAAGGUAGAAGAAACAAAUUAUUCUGCAGUUGUCUUUAUCAUUGCAAAACUUUUAUAUAAAUGCUGCCUGCAUUUUGUUUGAACAGGCUUUUUUACUGGCUACACCGGUUAUGAUGAUGAAGGUGACACUCGAGAAUGCAUUGGGGGACGUCUAGUAAUCUUCUUUGAUGCUGGAGGAAGUCACAAUGACCUAAAAAAGAAAGAUCAGAAGAAAGGUACAGAGAGGAUCACGGUGGCUUCAUCCACUGUUGUACUGUGGGUGGAUUGCAAGUUGGAUUCCAGAGUUGACUUAAUUGGUGACGGUAGUAGAACAACCAUUUUGUUCUCAUGGGAUGACGAGAGCUGAACCCUUCUUUUUCUUAUUUCUAAACUCAAAAUACCUACUGUUAGCUAUGACUGAUUAGUAAGUAACCUUAAGAGUUUUUGGGAUGGAUUUAACGAGAAGAGUAUGUAUAUUCA